CCUACGGGUGGCAGCAGUAGGGAAUCUUCCACAAUGGGCGCAAGCCUGAUGGAGCAACACCGCGUGAGUGAAGAAGGGCUUCGGCUCGUAAAGCUCUGUUGUUAAAGAAGAACACGUAUGAGAGUAACUGUUCAUACGUUGACGGUAUUUAACCAGAAAGUCACGGCUAACUACGUGCCAGCAGCCGCGGUAAUACGUAGGUGGCAAGCGUUAUCCGGAUUUAGUGGGAGUAAAGAGAGUGCAGGCGGUUUUCUAAGUCUGAUGUGAAAGCCUUCGGCUUAACCGCAGAAGUGCAUCGGAAACGGGAUAACUUGAGUGCAGACGAGGGUAGUGGAACUCCAUGUGUAGCGGUGGAAUGCGUAGAUAGAUGGAAGAACACCAGUGGCGAAGGCGGCUACCUGGUCUGCAACUGACGCUGAGACUCGAAAGCAUGGGUAGCGAACAGGAUUAGAUACCCCGGUAGUC
rnacentral:rRNA from 1 species